rnacentral:rRNA from 1 species
GUUUACGGCCAUACCAGCCUGGGUACGCCCGAUCUCGUCUGAUCUCGGAAGCUAAGCAGGGUCGGGCCUGGUUAGUACUUGGAUGGGAGACCGCCUGGGAAUACAGUUGCUGUAAGCU